CGAACUAACUAAACGGGCGAUUGCCCAGCCCAGGUACAUAUCUACUCUAAGUAGUCUCGCCCAAUGCUUUUAUCGUCUCUACUUCUAAACCUUUUAUUCCCGCCAAAUUUGAACUAAUUAUUUAGUGGAACAUAUAUGGUUAUUAAAAGAUGGUUUACAUCAUUAUUCUUGCAGAUAUUUUAUUAGUAAAGACGACGCUAGACAGGUUCUCUCUAUCAUUCAACUAAUGUGCACCUUUUGGCCUUUUCUCCACUCACAUGCAUUGCACUAAAAAGUGAAAACUGUAAAGGGCUUUUUAACAUUCACUCUCUGAUAUCUACCUACCAGAUAGAGGACGUAUGAAUGAAGUUGGAAGCAUAAUCAAGACUCUGAAGUUUGUGUGAAGGGUCCACUCAGUUCAAAGAUCUUAAUAGAGCUCGUGGAAACAGUCAGCUCAAAGGAAAAAGGACUGAAGAAACCUCCCCAGAAACAAAUGUUGAUAGAUUUAUGAAGAACAACAACAUGAGCUCUCCUUAUCUCAGCCGUGCAACAGCGAACAAUCCUGUAACAGUGAAACGUAGCAGCAAUCAUCUCAAUGGGUUUGCACAGAGACCGGAAUCCACUUUCUUUGGCACUAGGAUGCAACCAGACAUAGAACUCAUGUCUUUGGUUGAUCCAAUGGACAUGUCUUCAAGAUUGAAGGACAACAACAAUGUCUUGGCCUGAGAGCAGAAACAACAGUGGCGUAUUGAGGUGGCGGUCAUAUGAAGCAAGCGAUGAGGAAGAUGAACCGAAUUGGGGCAUUGCACCGAUUAGUUCCGGUUCGAUGCCGGUUAAGGGAAGGAGGCGUAGAUUCGCUGCAAGAUGAAAUUAUACAAACCCUCGCGGGGAAAGAAAACAUUAGCAAUUGUGUUAAGCAUAGAGAUUGAGAGCAGGUGGUGUAAAGAGGGAGAAAUGGUAAGAGUGAGCUUUGUACUCGGAACAAAAAGUAUAAUUGAGUUCUACAUUUUUCUUUAAUUUCAUUUGUGGAGAGAUUUUUUGAAUAUCAUUUUUUUUU